rnacentral:misc_RNA from 1 species
UUUCUGAGCACCUUUUAUUGAAAAAUGACCUUCAAGUCUAGGGUCUACCAAUCUGUAAAACCUUCUUCUUUCACCAAGAUGAGGCCGUGCCCAUUCAACAAGGUUGUGUUCCCCAUUUGGUCGGUUCUUGUCCAUCGAUCUCCUACCUGUUAUCAUUUCAAGUAGAACUACCCCAAAACUGUAGACGUCACUCUUUGACGUUAGAUGCCCUGUCAUCACAUACUCAGGGGCUGCAUAACCAUACGUUCCCAUGACACGAGUAGAAACAUGUGUCUUAUCACCCUCAGGACCAUCUUUGGCAAGACCAAAAUCAGAAAGUUUGGCAUUGUAAUCCGCAUCUAGAAGAAUGUUGGAUGUUUUGAAAUCACGGUAUAUCACUGGUCUUUCUGCUUCCUCGUGAAGAAAAGCAAGACCUUUUGCUGCACCCAAUGCUAUCUUCAUGCGGAUGGACCACGGAAGAGGCAGGGACCUCCUGAACAGAUGGUUUUCCAAGCUUCCUCGAGGCAUA